rnacentral:sRNA from 1 species
AAUUAAUAAAUUGAUUGUGAAAGUAAGUAAAAUUCACAAAAUUACUGUUAAUGUACAUCAGUAAGUUAGCUAAAAGAAACACCAAAAUCGUCUCCAUGAUUAUAUUCCGUGCAGUCCGUGAUUUUUCUUAGGUUGCUGCAUAGUUUUUGACCAAUCGAUAUAAACGGGGCUUGUAGAUUUCAGUCUUGUUGUUUUUAUUAUAUAGCAUUUAAAGUUAUUCUACAUUGAUAUAUAAAUAUAAUAUACUUGCAUAAAAUUCAAAUCAUUACACC